AGACGAUUGCUUAAAGGCCAUGGAGAUGGGUUUGAUGGACUUCCUCCAUCAUACGAUCCAUGAGAUAGAGAUGGUCCAGCACUCAGAAACUCCAUAUUCCUCAUGGUCUCUAAACUUUUGCCCACAGACGAGCGAUCUGCUCCUUUGCGACCUUGUGUGACUCCCAUUGACACCUUGGGUCACCUGAGAGCAUGUCUAUAUCCCUUGCUUCACUUUGACAUCUAAUUCCUUGGUUUCCCCCAUAGAAGCAUCAAUGCUCAUAACUACAUCUUUGAUGGUUCUAGGCUCACCGUUGUCCACCCCA
rnacentral:lncRNA from 1 species